GAGCUGCUGCUGUCCCUGGGGAAGGAGGGAGAAGGGGAGUGUGUGUGUACUAUCUGCAGUCCCAGCAUAUGUGUGUGUGUGUAAUUUGCAGUCCUAUUGUGUAUGUGUGUGGGAGGGGGGGGGGGAAUGAGCAUGUGUUUAAUGUAUUCUGCAGUUUAAGUGUCUGUGAGUGUGUGGGGGGGACAGUCUGCGGUCCCAGUGUGUGUUUGUAAUUUGCAGUCAUGGUGUGGUGGGGCAGACUGCAGUCCCAGUGUGUGUGUGUAUGUACAGUCUGCAGUCCCAGUAUGUGUGCGGGGGCAUUUUAUUUAUAUAUGACACACACACACGCCCCCCACCCUACCAAAUCCUGUGUUUGCCCCUGCAGUGGACGAUGAGGGUGCAGCUACAGGAGCUCAGAGUUGUUGCACUGCUGUUCGGGAUCUUUCUGUCAUGAAGAAUGCAGAAGAGAGACCUGUGAUGUCUGCAGGUCUGAAAUUGUAAAAAUUCCUGCAAUGAUGGUAAAUCUUGUGGAGAUGGAGCCCCUGUUGAUUUAUUUUCAAGAAGAGGUUAAGAACAGUGAUCUGAAAUGGCUGCAUUGAUGUCCUCAGUCCACCCAAAGAGCCUUUCCUCCAGACAGUGCAGAGCCCCUCUCCAGUUCAUCCCCAUGAGUUUUGGGGAAGUAAGAUCUAGGCCUAGGGUUAUGGAGAAAGAUGUUAUGGAAUUAUCGAAACUUCUUACAUUCCAGAGACUUCUGUGGCUUAUGAACAUGUUGUUGCUCAUGUUAUCCACAAUGAAAGCUCCAAUAAAGUCUGCAGCUACUCUAA